GCCUUGCUACCAUUAUAGCUCAGCUGGUUAGUGUGUGGUGCUGAUAAUGGCAAGGUUGCAGGUUCAAACCCCAUAUGAGACA